rnacentral:rRNA from 1 species
UGACGGAGAGUUUGAUCCUGGCUCAGGGCGAACGCUGGCGGCGUGCCUUAGACAUGCAAGUCGAGCGGUAGGCGUCCUUCGGGGCGCCGAGAGCGGCGAACGGCGGAGUAACACGUGGGUAACCUGCCCCGAAGACUGGGACAACCCGGGGAAACUCGGGACAAUACCGGAUGUGGAUGCGUGGGCUUCGGCUUGGGCAUCUAAAUGGGUUUCCGCUUCGGGAUGGGCCCGCGGCCUAUCAGGUUGUUGGUGAGGUAACGGCUCACCAAGCCGACGACGGGUAGCCGGUCUGAGAGGAUGAUCGGCCCGAGGGGCACUGAGACACGGGCCCCACUCCUACGGGAGGCAGCAGUCGGGAAUUUUGGGCAAUGGGCGCAAGCCUGACCCAGCGACGCCGCGUGGAGGACGAAGCCCUUCGGGGUGUAAACUCCUUUUAGUGGGGACGAACGCAGACGGUACCCACAGAAAAAGCCCCGGCUAACUACGUGCCAGCAGCCGCGGUAAUACGUAGGGGGCGAGCGUUGCCCGAAUUUACUGGGCGUAAAGCGCACGUAGGCGGCUUCGUAAGUCUGGUGUGAAAUCUCACGGCUCAACCGGGAGGCUGCACCAGAUACUGCGAAGCUCGAGGACGGGAGAGGAGAUCGGAAUUCCCGGUGUAGCGGUGAAAUGCAUUGAUAUCGGGAGGAACACCAGUGGCGAAGGCGGAUCUCUGGCCCGUUGCUGACGCUGAGGUGCGAAAGCUGGGGGAGCGAAAGGGAUUAGAUACCCCUGUAGUCCCAGCCCUAAACGAUGGGCGCUAGGUGUUGGGGGAUUAACCCUCGGCGCCGGAGCUAACGCAUUAAGCGCCCCGCCUGGGGAGUACGGCCGCAAGGUUGAAACUCAAAGGAAUUGACGGGGGCCCGCACAAGCGGUGGAGCA